rnacentral:rRNA from 1 species
GUGCAGCAGGCGAGAAACUUUACAAUGUGCGAAAGCACGAUAAGGGAACUCUGAGUGCCUCCUAAGGAGGCUGUUCAGGUGUCUAAAAGCACCUGGAGUAAGGGCUGGGUAAGACCGGUGCCAGCCGCCGCGGUAACACCGGCAGCCCAGGUGGUAGCCACUUUUAUUGGGUCUAAAGCGUCCGUAGCCGGUUGAGUAAGUUCCUUGGGAAAUUUGGCUGCUCAACAGUCAAGCUUCCAGGGAAUACUGCUCGACUUGGGACUGGGAGAGGUCAGAGGUACUCCAGGGGUAGGGGUGAAAUCCAUUAAUCCCUGGGGGACCACCGGUAGCGAAGGCGUCUGACCAGACCAGGUCCGACGGUGAGGGACGAAGGCUAGGGUCGCGAACCGGAUUAGAUACCCCCGUAGU